CUUCUUCCUUGUUCGAUAUACCCGUGAAGAUCCGGGUUAGAAUUGAUCUUCAGUAACCCAUGUUCGUCGUAAGUUACUAACCGGAUCGGGU